AUAUGCAUGUAUACAUGUAAUCCAAAAUUAGACAAGGUUUCAGAAUAGAUAUUUAAAGUGACUUCACAUCAGGAUAUUAAAUUUUGCUCAAAAUAUACUUUUCUUAAAACCUCAAAAAUUGAGAAGGCAGUUUACAGUUAGGUAAAUUCAAAAGCUACUUUAGGAACCUUGGCUACACGUGUAUUUUUUUUUUUUUUUUUUGAGUAAAUAGUACAUUGUUAUUAGUUGCUAACUGCAUAAUCAUAAGAUUAGUAGUGUGAAGUCAUUUCUUUUUAAGGCUCCCAAAUAAACUUAAAUGUAUAAUCAAA
rnacentral:lncRNA from 1 species